UACUUAUUGUAUUGUAUCAGGUUGGUCUUUACAUGGGACUCAUGUCCUGUUGACCAUACCUUCAAUCAUUGUUAUAUUUUUUGUAUGAUUGUAAAGUUAAUAAAAAAAAAAAAUAUGCUGCAUGCUAAAAAUAUCCGCUUGAACAUCAAUCACAAACAUAAAUGAAGUUUAUAUGUCAGAAGGUAACUUCAAUGUAAAAAAUACAUUGGCAUGGCCAUGUCAAGUCGCUUCAAGUUAACAGCUUCAAUGUCAGAUAUUGCUUUUAUAAUGUCGGAAACGG